GAGGAGUCGAGAGAAAUAGUGAGCGUUGAGCGAGUUCACGGACUCAAGUCGUCUCCGCUUGUUAUCGAUCACCUCGUAGAUCUGGGACAAAUUAACGGAGUCUUGAAACGAAAACAAAACAACAUUGUCACACAAGUCGGAUCUAAAUACCGAAUGACAGCAACAUAGCUAGGAAGAGCAGGCAAGGGGUGAGAAUGAAAGAGACCGCAGGUUCAACAGUGGCGAGAGGUCAGUGUCCUAGCGUAAGAUGUCAACUGCACUACAGCAACGAUGCACCAAAACAACAACAACGAUAACAUAAGCAGAACAACAGCAUGUUCAACGGCACAAGAAGAACAGCAAUGAGAAUACAAAAACACAAACAGCUAAAA